UACGUAGGGGGCAAGCGUUUGUCCGGAAUCAUUGGGCGUAAAGAGCGUGUAGGCGGCUCGGUAAGUCCGCUGUGAAAGUCCAGGGCUCAACCCUGGAAUGCCGGUGGAAACUGUCGAGCUAGAGUCCGGAAGAGGCGAGUGGAAUUCCUGGUGUAGCGGUGAAAUGCGCAGAUAUCAGGAAGAACACCCGUGGCGAAGGCGGCUCUCUGGGACGGUACUGACGCUGAGACGCGAAAGCGUGGGGAGCAAACAGG
rnacentral:rRNA from 1 species